GAUGAACGCUGGCGGCGUGCCUAAUACAUGCAAGUCGAGCGAACAGACGAGGAGCUUGCUCCUCUGACGUUAGCGGCGGACGGGUGAGUAACACGUGGAUAACCUACCUAUAAGACUGGGAUAACUUCGGGAAACCGGAGCUAAUACCGGAUAAUAUAUUGAACCGCAUGGUUCAAUAGUGAAAGACGGUUUUGCUGUCACUUAUAGAUGGAUCCGCGCCGCAUUAGCUAGUUGGUAAGGUAACGGCUUACCAAGGCAACGAUGCGUAGCCGACCUGAGAGGGUGAUCGGCCACACUGGAACUGAGACACGGUCCAGACUCCUACGGGAGGCAGCAGUAGGGAAUCUUCCGCAAUGGGCGAAAGCUUGACGGAGCAACGCCGCGUGAGUGAUGAAGGUCUUCGGAUCAUAAAACUCUGUUAUUAGGGAAGAACAAAUGUGUAAGUAACUAUGCACGUCUUGACGGUACCUAAUCAGAAAGCCACGGCUAACUACGUG
rnacentral:rRNA from 1 species